GACGAACGCUGGCGGCGUGCUUAACACAUGCAAGUCGAGCGAACAGACCCUGCUUUUGUUGGUUGCUCGAGUGCCGCACGCGUGUGAAACACGUGAGUAACAUGCCCUUGACUUACUGGUAACUUCAGGAAACUGCGGCUAUUACCGCGUAGAAUCUCCUGCUGCGUGGUGGGCGUUGGAAAGUGUCGGCUGUGGUGGAUGGUAUCGCAGCUUAUCAGCUUGUUUGUGGGGUAGUGGCUUACCAAGGCUUUGACGGGUAGGCGGCAUGAGAGCGUGACCGGCCACAAUGGGACUGAGAGACGGAGCAGACGCCAAUGGGAGGCAGCAGUGGAGAAGAUUGCACAACAGGCGGAAGCGUGAUGCGGCAAUGCCGCGUGCGGGAUGACGGGUUACGAGUUGUAAACCGCUUUGGACGGAGAUGAAGCGUGAGUGACGGUAAUGGGUAAGAAAGCACCGGCUAACUACGUG
rnacentral:rRNA from 1 species